rnacentral:misc_RNA from 1 species
GAUGAAGAACGCAGCGAAAUGCGAUACUUGGUGUGAAUUGCAGAAUCCCGUGAACCAUCGAGUCUUUGAACGCAAGUUGCGCCCGAAGCCAUUAGGCCGAGGGCACGCCUGCCUGGGCGUCACACGUCGUUGCCCCCCCAUCUACUCCUUCAGGAUUGCGAGGGGCGGAUGAUGGCCUCCCGUGCGCCUCGUCGCGCGGUUGGCAUAAAUGCCAAGUCCUCGGCGACGCACGCCACGACAAUCGGUGGUUGCGAAACCUCGGUUGCCCGUCGUGUGCGGUCGUCGCGCAUCGAGGGCUCGAAAAAAUUGCCGGGCUCCGGCUCGGCUUUCAACGCGACCCCAGGUCAGGCGGGGUUACCCGCUGAAUUUAAGCAUAUCAAUAAGCGGAGGA